rnacentral:lncRNA from 1 species
ACAAGACAUGGGCUGGGCUCCGGUUCACACUGGUCAGGCACUCAUCCUGUGGCCUCCUUGCAGAACUUUGGAUACUAUUGGGCAGGCAUGCAAGCAGCUUCGAGUGUUGGAUGUGGCCAUGUGUCCUGGUAUCAACAUGGCAGCUGUCAAACACUUUCAAGCACAGCUGCCUCAGGUGACCUGCAUCCAGUCUCGCUUCGUGGGAGGGGCUGACCUGACCCUAACACUUUGAGGCCAGGUCAGUAAGUAGCCCUGAAGCCAUCUUCUCUCACCAAUAUAGUCCUGGCCCACCAGUAUAGUUUGCCCCAGUGCCUCCUGCCUUCCCCUGUUCUAGAACUUUUUCUAAGACUCUGGAUGGAACCAAUCCAGAAUUCUUGCAGCACCAGUGUACCACACAGAUGGCAGCAACCUCUUCCCAACUACACUUGCUGCCAUGGGUCCUCUAAAGAUCAGACCUAUAGGUAAGCCGGGCCUGGUGCUGGUGAUGGCCAGACUGUGCCUCCUGCCAGCCAGCCACCUAUUCAGACCUAAAGCCCUUGCUGUACCUGCUCCCCAGGGGUCUCUUCCACCUGAGCUUUAGCAGCCAACCCCCAACUUCAUUGUAAACCCAAACAUGAUGAAAAAUUCUAGAUUUUAUGUCUUCCUUUGAUGUUCUCAGAAUAAAGGGGUCCUGGCUUCUUCC